rnacentral:misc_RNA from 1 species
GUAUUCCGUAGUUUUUAACUGGCGGCCCGUGUUCACGUCUACGACAAUCGAGCAGCGCGCGCGCGUUAUGUAGUGUUAGUGUUUUUAUUAUUUUUAUUAUUAUUAUUAUUAUUUUUUUUUUCAAUCUCAGAAUAUAUACAACAUACGUAUAUAUUAUGUAUUUUAUAUUUUAUCCAUUAUAGUUUUUUGAUUUAUGCCCGCGAAACGAAUCACGAAAACCAAUACCGAACAUAUUAUUAUUAUUACUAUUAUUAUUGUUGUUGUUGUACAUAAUAAAAUAUUAUAUUGUACAUAAAACGAGCUGCUGCUGUCGCCGCCGUUGCCUGAAAAGCUGCCUCCCCCGCCGUCUGGUCUCGCUGCGAAAAAGACGUCGAAUCGGAGCCACCGAAAGCUGACGUCUGAGCGUCGUCGCCGUCGCCGUCGCGUAUUAAAGUAUGAAUACUGGAAGUUAUCCUACAUUUGUGACCGCUGCGCCGGCAACUUCAUUUAACACCUGUUCAAGUGCAAACAUGACUCAAGUGAAUUCAGGAAACAAAUAUACAAAUGUUCAACAACAAACUGAUACAACUAACACUAAUACAGUAGUUAAUACUUCUAAUACUAGUGGACAAGUCGUUGCACUAUUGAACAGUGAUGAAGCAGGUGUAACUUAUUUGAGGCCUCUGGAUUCAAAUGGUUUUGCUGUAAAUCUAGCAGGAGUUGGAUCAUCUAAUCAACAAGGACAAAUAUUUACUAUUCCCAUAACUGUUCCUGGUUCUAAGCCUGGAGAACAAAGCCAAACUAUACAAAUUCAAGUAGUUGGGCAAGGUGGUAUAUCUGGCGAUAAACUUUUGCCUGUUUUUGGUCCAGUAUUACAACUAGCAUAUAACCAACAACAAGACAAUGGAACCAUUCAACUUCAGUUGCAGCAAGAAGGUGAUGUUUCAAAUGACCAAAUACAUAAUAAUAACAACGAUUCAAUGCAAUCGUCUGAUUUAUUACAAGACGUUCAAGAAGACCAAGAUAUGAUUCAAGAUGUCAAACCAGUAAUUAUCGAACAAAGCGGCACAGAUAGUAAUGGUUUACCAUUUCCAUUAGCAGUAGUGGUAAAUCAAGACAUGGUUGUGCGGCGUAAUCAGCAAGACAACAAAAUAAUUGGCGAUCAAAAAGAUAAUCAGGCGGACAAACGAUUAAGAAUUCAAAAUGAACAAGAUCCAGCAAAUCAAUAUGUUAUGACUUACUCAUCUAAUUCAAAUAAUUCUGUUUCAUUGGCUGAUUAUAUUUCAAUGAAUCACGAUAAUAUACCUCUUGGACAUUUUUUAAAAUUUUCACCUGAUAAUAAUAAAAGAGAUAGUAUGGAAUCAUCUGGUAACCAAGAUGAUGGCAAUAGUGAAAUGGUAGUUUACGAAGAUACCAAUAGUGGGGAAAAGGGUAAAAGAAAAAAAAAAUACAAAAAGAAACCACCAGCUGCUCGAAAACCACGACCUGGUCAAAUACAUAUUGCAACUGCCUUAGAUGGUACACUUCUAUUUUGUUGUCCAGAAUGUAGUAUGGCUUACCCCGAUAAAGAAAUGCUUGAACAACAUUUAGUUGCUCAUAAAAUAGAAAGAAGAUUUAUAUGUGACUUAUGUGGUGCUGGACUUAAACGAAAAGAACAUCUAGAACGACAUAAAUUAGGUCACAAUCCAGAACGUCCAUUUGUUUGUAAUGUUUGUUGUAAAGGUUUCAAAAGAAAAGAACAUUUAAAUUUACAUGCUGUGAUCCACUCUGGUGUAAAAACUGAAGUAUGUCAGGAUUGUGGUAAAGGUUUUUAUCGACGAGACCAUUUAAGAAAACAUACUCAAAGUCAUAUUACUAAACGUUUAAAAGAAGAACAUGCAGCUCUUCAACAAAUGGCAGAACAAGUAACAGUAUCAGAUCGUCAAAAAAUGUCCGUCCCCGAGCUUAUCCAAAAUCAAAGUCAUUCAGGACCAAUCAUUAACUUGGCUCACCAAGAAAUGAUAAUUGAUGCUGUUGCAAGUGGAAGACACGACAGCCCUACCCCUCCAAAUGAUCAUCAAAUUGUCAUCACCAAAGGCAACCAAAAACUUACUGAACAAGAGUUGAUUAUACUACAGCAGCAGCAGCAGCAGAUUCAACAACAACAGCAGCAGCAGCAGCAGCAACAAUUACAACAACAACAGCAACAGCAACCAAAUAGUCCAAAUAUAGCCCAACAAGAAAUGAUCAUUGAGGCUGUAGGACAACAACAUCAUAGUCCAUCUCCACCACAUGUGGAACACCAUCAAGUCGUUAUUACUAAACUAGAACCAACAGAAGAUUCAAGAGAAAAUGAAAGUAUUGUUUUGACUCAGUCUGAUGCUAGAGAAGCACUUGGUUUACUACACCAUCAAUCUCAAUGACCUAUACUUUCAACUGCCAAGGUGACAAUUAAACAGGAGCCACCAUAAUAAUAAACAGAUGUGCUCAAUAUUGUAAAUAAUAAAAUUUACAUGGAUGACAUUGUUUUGCAUGAACAGCAAAUAGUUUUGUGAGUUUCAAUAUUUUAUUAAUACAAACUUAUUAUAUUUUAUUAUUUCUGACUGUCAAAAGUAAAUGUCAACUAAAAAUUUUCCGUUCAUCUAGCCUUUUCAUUAUAUUGACGCUUAAUAUUAUUUAAGAUCAUCAAAUUAUAAUGUUUUAUUUUACUUUAAUUAUAUCAUCAUAUUAUUGAAUUUUGAAUACAUUUUGGUUAAAUAGAAGAUUCUGAGGAGAAAAGACUCAUUGCUUAUUUGAAUUAAAUAGGAUAAAACAAUAAAAAAAAUCAAUCUUGCUCACCCUUCUUUAUUUGUUGAAGAUACACAAUUCAUCCCAUUGACAAAAUUAAAACCUAAAAUAUAGAUUAAUCUGCAGUACUAAAAGCAGAAUAAUAGACGACAUAUUUUAUAUUUUUUUAAAUUUUAAAACAUUAAGGUAAUUAAAAAUUAUUAUAUAAAAAGUGUAUAGUCUAUUUUAUUUAUAACAAAAUUGUAUAUUU